rnacentral:misc_RNA from 1 species
GAUGAAGAACGUAGCGAAAUGCGAUACUUGGUGUGAAUUGCAGAAUCCCGUGAACCAUCGAGUCUUUGAACGCAAGUUGCGCCCGAAGCCAUUAGGCCGAGGGCACGCCUGCCUGGGCGUCACACGUCGUUGCCCCCCAUCUACUCCUUCGGGAUUGCGGGGGGCGGAUGAUGGCCUCCCGUGCGCCUCGUCGCGCGGUUGGCAUAAAUGCCAAGUCCUCGGCGACGCACGCCACGACAAUCGGUGGUGGCGAAACCUCGGUUGCCCGUCGUGUGCGGUCGUCGCGCAUCGAGGGCUCGAAAAAAUUGCCGGGCUCCGGCUCGGCUUUCAACGCGACCCCAGGUCAGGCGGGGUUACCCGCUGAAUUUAAGCAUAUCAAUAAGCGGAGGA